UAAGGAAUAUUGGUCAAUGGGCGGAAGCCUGAACCAGCCAUGCCGCGUGCAGGAAGACGGCCCUACGGGUUGUAAACUGCUUUUGCAGGGGAAUAAACCUCGAUAUGUAUAUCGAGCUGAAUGUACUCUGAGAAUAAGGAUCGGCUAACUCCGUGCCAGCAGCCGCGGUAAUACGGAGGAUCCAAGCGUUAUCCGGAUUUAUUGGGUUUAAAGGGUGCGUAGGUGGUUUUUUAAGUCAGGGGUGAAAGACGGCAGCUUAACUGUCGCAGUGCCUUUGAUACUGAAGAACUUGAAUUAACUAGAGGUAGGCGGAAUGUGACAAGUAGCGGUGAAAUGCAUAGAUAUGUCACAGAACACCAAUUGCGAAGGCAGCUUACUAUGGUUAUAUUGACACUGAGGCACGAAAGCGUGGGGAUCAAACA
rnacentral:rRNA from 1 species